UACGGGGGGGGGCUAGCGUUGUUCGGAAUUACUGGGCGUAAAGCGUACGUAGGCGGCUUUGUAAGUUAGAGGUGAAAGCCCGGGGCUCAACCCCGGAAUUGCCUUUAAGACUGCAUCGCUUGAAUCGCGGAGAGGUGAGUGGAAUUCCGAGUGUAGAGGUGAAAUUCGUAGAUAUCGGGAGGAACACCAGUGGCGAAGGCGACUUCCUGGCCUGUUCUUGACGCUGAGGCGCGAAAGCUAGGGGAGCAACAGGG
rnacentral:rRNA from 1 species